UACGUAGGGGGCAAGCAUUGUCCGGAUUUAUUGGGCGUAAAGAGCGUGUAGGCGGCCAUGCAGGUCCGUUGUGAAAACUCGAGGCUCAACCUCGAGACGCCGAUGGAAACCGCAUGGCUAGAGUCCGGAAGAGGAGAGUGGAAUUCCUGGUGUAGCGGUGAAAUGCGCAGAUAUCAGGAAGAACACCCGUGGCUAAGGCGGCUCUCUAGUACGGUACUGACGCUGAGACGCGAAAGCGUGGGGAGCGAACAGG
rnacentral:rRNA from 1 species